rnacentral:piRNA from 1 species
UGAAUCUCCAAAAAUACGCUCUGCUGCC